GACGAAGGAUGCAAGCGUUAUCCGGAUUCAUUGGGUUUAAAGGGAGCGUAGGUGGCCUUAUAAGUCAGUGGUGAAAUCUCUGGGCUUAACCCAGAAAUUGCCAUUGAUACUGUAGGGCUUGAGUACAGUUGCUGUGGGCGGAAUAUGACAUGUAGUGGUGAAAUACAUAGAGAUGUCAUAGAACACCGAUUGCGAAGGCAGCUCACAAAACUGUAACUGACACUGAGGCUCGAAAGUGCGGGGAGCAAACAGG
rnacentral:rRNA from 1 species